rnacentral:rRNA from 2 species
GGGUUGUGAGGUUAAGCGACUAAGCGUACACGGUGGAUGCCCUGGCAGUCAGAGGCGAUGAAGGACGUGCUAAUCUGCGAAAAGCGUCGGUAAGGUGAUAUGAACCGUUAUAGCCGGCGAUGUCCGAAUGGGGAAACCCAGUGCAAUUCGUUGCACUAUCGUUUGAUGAAUACAUAGUCAAACGAGGCGAACCGGGGGAACUGAAACAUCUAAGUACCCCGAGGAAAAGAAAUCAACCGAGAUUCCCCCAGUAGCGGCGAGCGAACGGGGAGCAGCCCGGAGUCUGAAUCAGCUUGUGUGUUAGUGGAAGCGUCUGGAAAGUCGCAGGGUACAGGGUGAUACUCCCGUACACUAAAACGCACAGGCUGUGAACUCGAAGAGUAGGGCGGGACACGUGGUAUCCUGUCUGAAUAUGGGGGGACCAUCCUCCAAGGCUAAAUACUCCUGACUGACCGAUAGUGAACCAGUACCGUGAGGGAAAGGCGAAAAGAACCCCGGCGAGGGGAGUGAAAAAGAACCUGAAACCGUGUACGUACAAGCAGUAGGAGCCUCUUUAUGGGGUGACUGCGUACCUUUUGUAUAAUGGGUCAGCGACUUAUAUUCUGUAGCAAGGUUAACCGUAUAGGGGAGCCGCAGGGAAACCGAGUCUUAACUGGGCGUUAAGUUGCAGGGUAUAGACCCGAAACCCGGUGAUCUAGCCAUGGGCAGGUUGAAGGUUGGGUAACACUAACUGGAGGACCGAACCGACUAAUGUUGAAAAAUUAGCGGAUGACUUGUGGCUGGGGGUGAAAGGCCAAUCAAACCGGGAGAUAGCUGGUUCUCCCCGAAAGCUAUUUAGGUAGCGCCUCGUGAACUCAUCUUCGGGGGUAGAGCACUGUUUCGGCUAGGGGGUCAUCCCGACUUACCAACCCGAUGCAAACUACGAAUACCGAAGAAUGUUAUCACGGGAGACACACGGCGGGUGCUAACGUCCGUCGUGAAGAGGGAAACAACCCAGACCGCCAGCUAAGGUCCCAAAGUCAUGGUUAAGUGGGAAACGAUGUGGGAAGGCCCAGACAGCCAGGAUGUUGGCUUAGAAGCAGCCAUCAUUUAAAGAAAGCGUAAUAGCUCACUGGUCGAGUCGGCCUGCGCGGAAGAUGUAACGGGGCUAAACCAUGCACCGAAGCUGCGGCAGCGACACUAUGUGUUGUUGGGUAGGGGAGCGUUCUGUAAGCCGUUGAAGGUGGCCUGUGAGGGUUGCUGGAGGUAUCAGAAGUGCGAAUGCUGACAUAAGUAACGAUAAUGCGGGUGAAAAACCCGCACGCCGGAAGACCAAGGGUUCCUGUCCAACGUUAAUCGGGGCAGGGUGAGUCGACCCCUAAGGCGAGGCCGAAAGGCGUAGUCGAUGGGAAACAGGUUAAUAUUCCUGUACUCGGUGUUACUGCGAAGGGGGGACGGAGAAGGCUAUGUUGGCCGGGCGACGGUUGUCCCGGUUUAAGCAUGUAGGCGGAUGUUCCAGGUAAAUCCGGAACGUUACUAACGCUGAGGUGUGAUGACGAGGCACUACGGUGCUGAAGUGACAAAUGCCCUGCUUCCAGGAAAAGCCUCUAAGCAUCAGGUAACAUCAAAUCGUACCCCAAACCGACACAGGUGGUCAGGUAGAGAAUACCAAGGCGCUUGAGAGAACUCGGGUGAAGGAACUAGGCAAAAUGGUGCCGUAACUUCGGGAGAAGGCACGCUGAUAUGUAGGUGAAGUGGUUUACCCAUGGAGCUGAAAUCAGUCGAAGAUACCAGCUGGCUGCAACUGUUUAUUAAAAACACAGCACUGUGCAAACACGAAAGUGGACGUAUACGGUGUGACGCCUGCCCGGUGCCGGAAGGUUAAUUGAUGGGGUUAUCCGUAAGGAGAAGCUCUUGAUCGAAGCCCCGGUAAACGGCGGCCGUAACUAUAACGGUCCUAAGGUAGCGAAAUUCCUUGUCGGGUAAGUUCCGACCUGCACGAAUGGCGUAAUGAUGGCCAGGCUGUCUCCACCCGAGACUCAGUGAAAUUGAACUCGCUGUGAAGAUGCAGUGUACCCGCGGCAAGACGGAAAGACCCCGUGAACCUUUACUAUAGCUUGACACUGAACACUGGUCCUUGAUGUGUAGGAUAGGUGGGAGGCUUUGAAGCGUGGACGCCAGUCUGCGUGGAGCCAUCCUUGAAAUACCACCCUUUAAUGGCUGGUGUUCUAACGUGGGCCCGUUAUCCGGGUUGCGGACAGUGUCUGGUGGGUAGUUUGACUGGGGCGGUCUCCUCCUAAAGAGUAACGGAGGAGCACGAAGGUCAGCUAAUCCUGGUCGGACAUCAGGAGGUUAGUGCAAUGGCAUAAGCUGGCUUGACUGCGAGCGUGACGGCGCGAGCAGGUGCGAAAGCAGGUCAUAGUGAUCCGGUGGUUCUGAAUGGAAGGGCCAUCGCUCAACGGAUAAAAGGUACUCCGGGGAUAACAGGCUGAUACCGCCCAAGAGUUCAUAUCGACGGCGGUGUUUGGCACCUCGAUGUCGGCUCAUCACAUCCUGGGGCUGAAGUAGGUCCCAAGGGUAUGGCUGUUCGCCAUUUAAAGUGGUACGCGAGCUGGGUUUAGAACGUCGUGAGACAGUUCGGUCCCUAUCUGCCGUGGGCGCUGGAGAAUUGAGGGGGGCUGCUCCUAGUACGAGAGGACCGGAGUGGACGCAUCACUGGUGUUCGGGUUGUCAUGCCAAUGGCAUUGCCCGGUAGCUAAAUGCGGAAGAGAUAAGUGCUGAAAGCAUCUAAGCACGAAACUUGCCCCGAGAUGAGUUCUCCCUGACUCCUUGAGAGUCCUGAAGGAACGUUGAAGACGACGACGUUGAUAGGCCGGGUGUGUAAGCGCAGCGAUGCGUUGAGCUAACCGGUACUAAUGAACCGUGAGGCUUAACCUUACAACGCCGAAG